UCCUUGGUGCUCCAGUGGUUAGGACUCUGCACUUUCACUGCAGAGGGCAUAGGUUCGAUCCCUAAUUGGGAU
rnacentral:tRNA from 1 species